UACGGAGGGAGCUAGCGUUAUUCGGAAUUACUGGGCGUAAAGCGCACGUAGGCGGCUUUGUAAGUAAGAGGUGAAAGCCUGGUGCUCAACACCAGAACUGCCUUUUAGACUGCAUCGCUUGAAUCAUGGAGAGGUGAGUGGAAUUCCGAGUGUAGAGGUGAAAUUCGUAGAUAUUCGGAAGAACACCAGUGGCGAAGGCGGCUCACUGGACAUGUAUUGACGCUGAGGUGGCGAAAGCGUGGGGAGCAAACAGG
rnacentral:rRNA from 1 species